rnacentral:tRNA from 1 species
ACUAUUUUGGCAGAAAGAGUGCCUUGAAUUUAGAAUUCAAACAUGUAAAAAUAUUACAAAUAGUA